rnacentral:tRNA from 1 species
GUGGGGAUAGCUCUGGGGUAGAGUGCAUGCUUAACAUGCACAAGGUCCUGGGUUCAAUCCCCAGUACCUCCG